rnacentral:misc_RNA from 1 species
GCCAACCAUGCGUCCCUCGUCUGGAUUAGCAAUCGCACCUUUCUCAAGCGCCUCCAUAGCCUUGAACGCCUCUUGAAACCGAGGCUCCAUCUCCGCUAUGAACUCAUCCGAGAACCCAAUCCGACUUACAUCCAAAAACAAUCCAAGCUCCUUAUGCUGGUAAAGCCAGUCAACGUACCUACUCCAAAGUGCGCGAGGAUCUUU